GAGAGAGGCUCGCAGCAACGAAAACUGCUAAUUUUCGCCACCUUGAUUGGACUUCAAGGCUCACUCG
rnacentral:tRNA from 2 species